rnacentral:rRNA from 1 species
CCUACGGGAGGCAGCAGUAGGGAAUCUUCCACAAUGGGCGAAAGCCUGAUGGAGCAACGCCGCGUGGGUGAAGAAGGUCUUCGGAUCGUAAAACCCUGUUGUUAGAGAAGAAAGUGCGUGAGAGUAACUGUUCACGUUUCGACGGUAUCUAACCAGAAAGCCACGGUUAACUACGUGCCAGCAGCCGCGGUAAUACGUAGGUGGCAAGCGUUAUCCGGAUUUAUUGGGCGUAAAGGGAACGCAGGCGGUCUUUUAAGUCUGAUGUGAAAGCCUUCGGCUUAACCGGAGUAGUGCAUUGGAAACGGGGAGACUAGAGGGCAGAAGAGGAGAGUGGAACUCCAUGUGUAGCGGUGAAAUGCGUAGAUAUAUGGAAGAACACCAGUGGCGAAAGCGGCUCUCUGGUCUGUAACUGACGCUGAGGUUCGAAAGCGUGGGUAGCAAACAGGAUUAGAUACCCGAGUAGUC